AGUGAACGCUGGCGGUAGGCCUAACACAUGCAAGUCGAACGGCAGCACAGUAAGAGCUUGCUCUUACGGGUGGCGAGUGGCGGACGGGUGAGGAAUACAUCGGAAUCUACUUUUUCGUGGGGGAUAACGUAGGGAAACUUACGCUAAUACCGCAUACGACCUACGGGUGAAAGCAGGGGAUCUUCGGACCUUGCGCGAUUGAAUGAGCCGAUGUCGGAUUAGCUAGUUGGCGGGGUAAAGGCCCACCAAGGCGACGAUCCGUAGCUGGUCUGAGAGGAUGAUCAGCCACACGGGAACUGAGACACGGUCAAGACUCCUACGGGAGGCAGCAGUGGGGAAUAUUGGACAAUGGGCGCAAGCAUGAUCCAGCCAUACCGAGUGGGUGAAGAAGGCCUUCGGGUUGUAAAGCCCUUUUGUUGGGAAAGAAAAGCAGCAGGUUAAUACCACGCUGUUCUGACGGUACCCAAAGAAUAAGCACCGGCUAACUUCGUG
rnacentral:rRNA from 1 species